GAUGAAGAACGUAGCGAAAUGCGAUAAGUAAUGUGAAUUGCAGAAUUCAGUGAAUCAUCGAAUCUUUGAACGCACAUUGCGCCCGCCAGUAUUCUGGCGGGCAUGCCUGUUCGAGCGUCAUUUCAACCCUCAAGACCCCCGGGCUUGGUGUUGGGGCUCGGCCCGUCCCUAGCGGAUGCGCCGUCCCCGAAAUCCAGUGGCGGUCUCGCUGUACACUCCUCUGCGUAGUAGCUAACACCUCGCAACGGGAACGCAGCGCGGCCACGCCGUUAAACCCCCCACUUCUGAAGGUUGACCUCGGAUCAGGUAGGAAUACCCGCUGAACUUAAGCAUAUCAAUAAGCGGAGGA
rnacentral:misc_RNA from 1 species